rnacentral:rRNA from 1 species
ACGCUGGCGGCGUGCUUAACACAUGCAAGUCGAACGAUGAAGCCGCUUCGGUGGUGGAUUAGUGGCGAACGGGUGAGUAACACGUGGGCAAUCUGCCCUUCACUCUGGGACAAGCCCUGGAAACGGGGUCUAAUACCGGAUAAUACUCCUGCCUGCAUGGGUGGGGGUUGAAAGCUCCGGCGGUGAAGGAUGAGCCCGCGGCCUAUCAGCUUGUUGGUGGGGUAAUGGCCUACCAAGGCGACGACGGGUAGCCGGCCUGAGAGGGCGACCGGCCACACUGGGACUGAGACACGGCCCAGACUCCUACGGGAGGCAGCAGUGGGGAAUAUUGCACAAUGGGCGAAAGCCUGAUGCAGCGACGCCGCGUGAGGGAUGACGGCCUUCGGGUUGUAAACCUCUUUCAGCAGGGAAGAAGCGCAAGUGACGGUACCUGCAGAAGAAGCGCCGGCUAACUACGUGCCAGCAGCCGCGGUAAUACGUAGGGCGCAAGCGUUGUCCGGAAUUAUUGGGCGUAAAGAGCUCGUAGGCGGCUUGUCACGUCGGAUGUGAAAGCCCGGGGCUUAACCCCGGGUCUGCAUUCGAUACGGGCUAGCUAGAGUGUGGUAGGGGAGAUCGGAAUUC